rnacentral:lncRNA from 1 species
UCCAUUCCCUUUCCUCCUGGCAUGGCUCAAUAGGGCACUACCAGACCCUUCCAGAGGUUCAGCUGGGAGGUGGAGGACUUUGUCCCCGAAGCAGUGUCCAGACAAUGGCUCCUACACAUUCCACAGAAUGGUGUUAGGGGCUUCCGGCUGAACAGGGGCAGCUAAGAAGGAAAGAAGCCAAGCUCUCUGGGCUUGGAAGACCCCAGGCUGCUGGGCCACCACGUGGGGGUGGGACUUGGAGAGAAUCCAAGACCACCUGCUCACCCACCCCCCGUCCCUGUCCCUGUGGGCAGGGGGCACUUCCUCUCCCCGAGGCCAGGAACCCUGGUACCCAGAAUUCGCACGUGAUCUGGACACGUGUGGGAGGCAGAGGGGCAUGCUGUCCUCCAGCUGGAUGUCACUCAGCCCUCCUGCUGUGUGUCCAGGGCGGUCAGGUACGGACUAUUCUCGGUGCCAUGAGUAGUGCAGAUGAUGGGACAUGCUUGAGCCUGGGGCUCCAUGUGCGCUCAGAGGCUGGAGGAGAUGGAAACUCGGGCUUCCUGGGGACCACAAUGUAGGGUGUGGCCAGGGAGCUCCUCACAACCAGGAAUGAGAGGUGAUGGGACGUGGAGUCUCACUAGGGGCUCCUUUCCCAGAGGAGCUGCCUGGCAGGGAUCCCGUAAGGGCAAAGGUGGAAGCUCAUAGAAGUCACACAGGAAGUGCCCCCAGCCAGACCACAGACCACAACAAGGACACUGACCAAGACACCAAGGAUGGUGUCUCCACCGGGGACAGUCAGGGAGUGCAGGAAAUGUUCUGGGGUUCAGAGGAGUUCUGGGGACGGCUUCACGGAGCGGCCAUGCUGUGGAGAGAAGGGAGCUUAGCUGUGGCAACUGAAGCCAGACCCAGACGAUGGUCAAGUCGUCGUCCAACUCUGGCCGAAGUCGGUGCACAGCAAGGCUUCCCCAUCGCCACGGCGGCUCCUUUACAGAAGAUGCUGGAUUUGUGAAUCCAGCCCUUGACAGAAGGGGCAUAACUUAUGAGGAAAACAGAUCAUUUAAAAAUAAAA